rnacentral:tRNA from 1 species
AGGAAAGUAAGCUAAAUUUUAAGCUAAUGGGUUCAUACCCCAUUUAUAGAGAGUUCAUCUCUCUUUCCUA